CCGAGAAAUUUUGGAUCACUUCAGAUUAUAAGAUCAUGCAGUACCUUAUGAGGAAUAUUCCUGGUUCUCUUUUGUGUGACACAGUUGUUGGGCAGUAUCAAUACUGGCAGGAAUCUGACUGAACUGAUGAUGGCAUUUUAUUUUCAUUUCUUCAAUGGAUAUAUAUGCUUCAGUUGCUGAGAUCAGGCAGCUAUUGGGAACAGUUAACCAGUACUCUCAGAUUGGUAACUCCUACAGCGUUGCAUUUGGGAGCACUAUCUUUAUUCUUCCGCAUUGAGUGGACUAUGGGUUGAGAGUGGAAGCCCAGCAUAGGACUGAUGGAAGACAGUUCCUGUGGAGAGUUCUUCUUGGGGGAUAUUCAUGAUACUGAUUUGUUAGCGACUUUCUUGGCUGAGAGUUGGCAUGCAGUUAACCUUGCUCUUCAACCUAGAAGAGAACUUUAUGAACUACAUGGUGCUGUUAUUGGUACAACACAGUUGCUGAGCUGUAUAUCUUUCAGGAGGAAUACUAUUCCUCAUGCAGGAAUAGACUAUUUGGAAUCAGCAGGGCUUUCUUUCCGACAGCCUUGCUCUAUCAGAGCACUAUCACUAUUCCUCCGCCUUGAGUGGACUGAGGGCUGAGGGUGGCAGCCUAACACAGGACUGACAGGGGGGCAGUUCCUGUGGAGUUCUUCAUGGGGGAUACACAUGAUGCUGAUUGGAUAGAGAUUUCGUUGGCCAAGACAUUUCGGAUCACCUUAGAAUCCAAUUUUAUUACAGCACCUUAUGACAAACAUUCUUGGUUCUGUUAUUGGUGUGACGGAGUUGUUUAUCAGUAUAAAUAUUGGCAGGAUUUCUAAAUCCGAUCCGGUAGCAGUUAAUUUGAAUUUCUUCAAUAGAUGUGAUCCAGUUCCUCAG